GCCUAACACAUGCAAGUCGAGCGGGGUGACCUUCGGGUCACUUACGCGGCGGACGGGUGCGUAACACGUGGGCAACCUGCCCCGAGGUGGGGGAUAGCCGUGGGAAACCGCGGGUAAUUCCGCAUGAGCUCUUCUGUCGGAGGAUGGAAGAGGAAAGGGUCUUCGGACUCGCCUUGGGAGGGGCCUGCGGCCGAUUAGCUUGUUGGUGGGGUAACGGCCUACCAAGGCGGUGAUCGGUAGCUGGUCUGAGAGGACGGCCAGCCACACGGGGACUGAGACACGGCCCCGACUCCUACGGGAGGCAGCAGUAGGGAAUCUUCCGCAAUGGACGAAAGUCUGACGGAGCAACGCCGCGUGUGGGAUGACGCCUUUCGGGGUGUAAACCACUUUUCUUCGGGAAGAACGUGGGGCAACCCACCUGACGGUACCGGAGGAAGAAGGACCGGCUAACUACGUGCCAGCAGCCGCGGUAAU
rnacentral:rRNA from 1 species